UAGGGAAUCUUCGGCAAUGGGGGGAACCCUGACCGAGCAACGCCGCGUGAGUGAAGAAGGUUUUCGGAUCGUAAAGCUCUGUUGUUAAGGAAGAACGUGUGUGAGAGUGGAAAGUUCACACAGUGACGGUACUUAACCAGAAAGGGACGGCUAACUACGUGCCAGCAGCCGCGGUAAUACGUAGGUCCCGAGCGUUGUCCGGAUUUAUUGGGCGUAAAGCGAGCGCAGGCGGUUAGAUAAGUCUGAAGUGAAAGGCAGUGGCUCAACCAUUGUAGGCUUUGGAAACUGUUUAACUUGACUGCAGAAGGGGAGAGUGGAAUUCCAUGUGUAGCGGUGAAAUGCGUAGAUAUAUGGAGGAACACCGGUGGCGAAAGCGGCUCUCUGGUCUGUAACUGACGCUGAGGCUCGAAAGCGUGGGGAGCGAACAGGAUUAGAUACCCUGGUAGUCCACGCCGUAAACGAUGAGUGCUAGGUGUUAGGUCCUUUCCGGGACUUAGUGCCGCAGCUAACGCAUUAAGCACUCCGCCUGGGGAGUACGACCGCAAGGUUG
rnacentral:rRNA from 1 species